AUACGAAGGGUGCGAGCGUUAAUCGGAAUUACUGGGCGUAAAGCGCGCGUAGGCGGUUGGAUAAGUCGGAUGUGAAAGCCCCGGGCUCAACCUGGGAAUUGUAUUCGAAACUGUCCGGCUAGAGUAUGGUAGAGGGAAGCGGAAUUCCACAUGUAGCGGUGAAAUGCGUAGAUAUGUGGAGGAACACCAGUGGCGAAGGCGGCUUCCUGGACCAAUACUGACGCUGAGGUGCGAAAGCGUGGGGAGCAAACAGGAUUAGAUACCCUAGUAGUCC
rnacentral:rRNA from 1 species